UACAGAGGAUGCAAGCGUUAUCCGGAAUGAUUGGGCGUAAAGCGUCUGUAGGUGGCUUUUUAAGUCCGCCGUCAAAUCCCAGGGCUCAACUCUGGACAGGCGGUGGAAACUACCAAGCUGGAGUACGGUAGGGGCAGAGGGAAUUUCCGGUGGAGCGGUGAAAUGCGUAGAGAUCGGAAGGAAUACCGAUGGCGAAGGCAGGUCUCUGGGCUAUAACUGACGCUCAUGCAUGAAAGCGUGGGGAGCAAACAGG
rnacentral:rRNA from 1 species